UACGUAGGGUGCAAGCGUUGUCCGGAAUUAUUGGGCGUAAAGAGCUCGUAGGCGGUCUGUCGCGUCGGCUGUGAAAACCCGGAGCUCAACUCCGGGCCUGCAGUCGAUACGGGCCGGCUAGAGGUAGGUAGGGGCAAGUGGAAUUCCUGGUGUAGCGGUGAAAUGCGCAGAUAUCAGGAGGAACACCGGUGGCGAAGGCGGCUUGCUGGGCCUUACCUGACGCUGAGGAGCGAAAGCGUGGGGAGCGAACAGG
rnacentral:rRNA from 1 species